rnacentral:lncRNA from 1 species
GACCACUCAGGAAAGGUUGUUUUUUUAGCAAAACCAUACAUAUUUUUGUUUUGAGUUUUAAUACGAGACAUAAGAUCGUUACAGUAGGCUUUUUGGGCCAACUUAAAAGCCCAGGAGGGCAACUUGUAAGAGCAAAUAUGCCAUGGGCGCACGGGGCAUCAUCAUUUCCAUCUGCAAAAGAUGCUGCUGUAUAUAGUAGGCU